rnacentral:rRNA from 1 species
GACGAACGCUGGCGGCGCGCUUAACACAUGCAAGUCAAAGGGUAAUAUAUUUAUAUGUAUUACACUGGCGGAAGGGUGAGUAACGCGUGGGUUAUCUAUCCAUAUCCCAGGGAUAGCAGUGAGAAAUUGCUGAUAAUAUCUGAUAGGGACGAAAGUUCAAAGUAUUAAUAGUACGGAUAUGGUUGAGCCUGCGUAAGAUUAUGUUAGUUGGAGAGGUAAUUGCUCCCCAAGGCUAUGAUCUUUAGCUGGUCUGAGAGGACGAACAGCCACACUGGAACUGAGACACGGUCCAGACUCCUACGGGAGGCAGCAGUGAGGAAUAUUGGACAAUGGAGGGAACUCUGAUCCAGCGACGCCGCGUGUAAGACGACGGAACUAAGUUCUGUAAAUCACUGUCGAGAGGGAGCAAAAGAUACUUUUGGGUAUCUGGGAUAGUACCUCUAGAGGAAGGGUCGGCUAACUACGUGCCAGCAGCCGCGGUAAUACGUAGGACCCGAGCGUUGUCCGGAUUUACUGGGUAUAAAGGGUGCGUAGGCUGUCUUGCUUGUCAAAUGUAAAAUACUACAGCUUAACUGUGGAUGUGCGUUUGAAACGGUAAGACUUGAAUAUGAGAGGGGCUGAUAGAAUUCCUGGUGUAGCGGUAAAAUGCGUAGAUAUCAGGAGGAAUACCGGUGGCGAAGGCGGUCAUCUGGCUCAUUAUUGACGCUGAGGCACGAAAGCGUAGGUAGCAAACAGGAUUAGAUACCCUGGUAGUCUACGCUGUAAACGAUGUAUGCUUGGUGUUAUUUAUUAUUUUAAUUAAUAAAUAGUGCCGAAGGGAAUCUGAUAAGCAUACCACCUGGGGAGUACGAAUGCAAGUUUGAAACUCAAAGGAAUUGACGGGGGCCCGCACAAGCGGUGGAUUAUGUGGUUUAAUUCGAUGCAACGCGAAGAACCUUACCAGGGCUCGAAUUGUGAUGGAAUUUGGCUGAAAGGUCAAAGUCUUCGGACCAUCAUAGAGGUGCUGCAUGGCUGUCGUCAGCUCGUGCCGUGAGGUGUUGGGUUAAGUCCCGCAACGAGCGCAACCCCUAUUCUUAGUUGCUAGUUAUUCAUAUAACGCACUCUAAGGAGACUGCCCACGCAAGUGGUGAGGAAGGUGGGGACGACGUCAAGUCAUCAUGGCCCUUAUGUCCUGGGCUACACACGUAAUACAAUGGCAGGUACAGCGAGCGACGCCGUAAGGCCGAGGUAAGCUUAAAAGCCUGUCUCAGUACGGAUUAAAGUCUGCAACUCGACUUUAUGAAGCUGGAAUCGCUAGUAAUCGUAGAUCAGCAUGCUACGGUGAAUACGUUCCCGGGCCUUGUACACACCGCCCGUCAAGCCAUGGAAGCUGGGGGUGCCCGAAGUCGCAAGGGAUUGCGCUUAAGGCAAACUUAGUAACUGGGGCU